rnacentral:rRNA from 1 species
UACGUAGGGGGCAAGCGUUGUCCGGAAUCAUUGGGCGUAAAGAGCGUGUAGGCGGCCAGAAAAGUCCGCUGUGAAAACUCGAGGCUCAACUUCGAGCUGUCGGUGGAAACUUUCUGGCUAGAGUCCGGAAGAGGAGAAUGGAAUUCCUGGUGUAGCGGUGAAAUGCGCAGAUAUCAGGAGGAACACCGGUGGCGAAGGCGGUUCUCUGGGCCUGCUCUGACGCUGAGGAGCGAAAGCGUGGGGAGCAAACAGG